ensembl:lncRNA
AUUCACUAACGUGUUGUCAGGGGAACAACAAGGCCGGCUUUCCGACCCUUUAACCUGCUGGCUACAGUUAGCCGCUCGCUAGUUAGCCGAUACUUUCGUUUGCGUGUUUGCUGGAAGAAGGGGCGUCACACAAACCGUGUGGCUAGCCCGCUGUUAGCCUAACGAGCUACCUCGGGGUUAGCACCUUUCCCCGUACUAAAAUAUGGCCACAUGUCGGGACUAUUGGAGGGCUUUUUACACGUCGUAAGCGGAACCCGUACAAGGCGCUGUUUGGUGCCUGUGGCUUGUGUUGCCUUGUUGUUGUUGUCCUCGCUGAGCAGUGACCGUGUCCCAGAAGUGUCCCUCACGAUGAUGAAGAGAAGCAGGCACCCCAGCAGCAGCAGCGACGACUCCGACAAUGGAAGAAGCAAACCGAGAGCGAGGAAGGGAAAGAAAGGCAGCAGAUGGACAAAGAUUAAGGAACAAAAAAAGAAGGCCUACAAUCUGAGAGACA